GUGGCAGAACCACUGAGCUAAAUCCCCAUUCCACGAGAGACAGUUUGAACCCUUUGCAGUGGGUGCACCUCCCUCUCCUGGAGAUGAAAUGGGGGAUUCUGCCUGGAAGGAUGAUUCGUCCUCCUCUAGGAUCCAUUUCCAUUUCCUCUGCUGAACACGGAACCAGCAGCUGGGGUUAAAUGACCAAGAUCCAGUGGGAGAAGUCCUGGGCUGCUGAGAGAAAGGAACUGCCCAGCAAAGGAGGUGCGGGACCUGGAGAAAAUGUACCCGAGGAAGCAGCCCUAUGCAACCCUAAUCUCCUUCUGUCUUUGUGGAUUUGCCUACUCUGGACAUUUCAAGUUUUUUGAGACAGAGUCUGGCUAUGUAUCUAGUUCAGGCUGGCUGGCCUUGAACUCACAGCGAUCCUCCUACCUCAGCCUCCCAUGUGCUGCGAUCACAGCCAUGUGCCAGCACAUUCAACAGCCUAAUAUUUAAUUUUCUCAUGGGUAAUAUGGAAAGAAAAAUACCAACCUUUCAGACUUAUUGUGAGGAUAAGAUAAUAUGUAUAGGGUCUAGAAAAGGGACAUUUUCAAAUUCCCCUCCCCAUUUCCCAUUUUCCUUCUCCCGUAAGGGAAGAGUGGCUUUGACCAGGCCAUUUUCCCCAGUGUUCAGGGCCAUGUGGGCUGUGCGUGAACCAUGUACCUGGUGUAGCUCCUCUGGGGCCUUCUGUCCAUCUCCAGCUACCAGUGCCUGCUGUCAGAGUUGG
rnacentral:lncRNA from 1 species